ACGAACGCUGGCGGCGUGCUUAACACAUGCAAGUCGAACGGUGAACUCCGCUUGCGGGGGGAUCAGUGGCGAACGGGUGAGUAACACGUGGGCAACCUGCCCUCAGCUCUGGGAUAACUCCAAGAAAUUGGGGCUAAUACCGGAUAUGACCGCUGACCGCAUGGUCUGGUGGUGGAAAGAUUUAUCGGCUAGGGAUGGGCCCGCGGCCUAUCAGCUUGUUGGUGGGGUAGUGGCCUACCAAGGCGACGACGGGUAGCCGGCCUGAGAGGGUGACCGGCCACACUGGGACUGAGACACGGCCCAGACUCCUACGGGAGGCAGCAGUGGGGAAUAUUGCGCAAUGGGCGAAAGCCUGACGCAGCGACGCCGCGUGGGGGAUGACGGCCUUCGGGUUGUAAACCUCUUUCAGCAGGGACGAAGCGAAAGUGACGGUACCUGCAGAAGAAGCACCGGCCAACUACGUG
rnacentral:rRNA from 1 species